rnacentral:rRNA from 1 species
UACUCCCAUAUAAACUCUGGUUGAUCCUGCCAGAGGCCACUGCUAUUGGAAUACGACUAAGCCAUGCGAGUCAAGGGGCUCUUCGGAGCACCGGCGUACGGCUCAGUAACAUGUGGGUAACCUACCCUCAGGUGGGAGAUAACCUCGGGAAACUGAGGCUAAUAUCCCAUAGAUAAAAGAUACUGGAAUGUUUUUUUAUCGAAAACUCUUGUGCCUGAGGAUGGGCCUGCAUCCGAUUAGGUUGUUGGUGAGGUAAUGGCUCACCAAGCCUACGAUGGGUACGGGUCGUGAGAGCGAUAGCCCGGAGAUGGGGACUGAGACAAGGCCCCAGGCCCUACGGGGCGCAGCAGGCGCGAAAUCUCUCCAAUGUGUGAAAACAUGAGAGGGGUAUUCCAAGUGCCCUUGUUAUGCAAGGGAUUUUCUUUGGUCCAAGACGCCGAAGGAAUAAGAGCUGGGUAAGACCGGUGCCAGCCGCCGCGGUAACACCGGCAGCUCGAGUGGUGGCCACUAUUAUUGGGCCUAAAGCGUUCGUAGCCGGGCAGGUAAGUGCUCUGGUAAAUCCCAUAACUUAAUUAUGGGGCUUCAGAACAUACUGCCUGCCUUGAGACCGGGAGAGGCUGGAGGUACUUUCGGGGUAGGGGUAAAAUCCUAUAAUCCCGAAGGGACCACCGG